GCCUCGCGCGCUCGCCGUCGAGCGCCACCGUCCACCGAGGAAGCAGAUGCUGGUGCCACGACUAGAGUAGUAACUUCCGCUUUCUUUCUCGUCGGCCAUUACCACGCGCAUUGUGUCGAGCGGCCUUUUUGUGACAAUCAUCGGACUCGCAGCAGCCACACGUCUGCCAGAGAAAAGGAGGAGAGAGACUCCGGCAUCAACAUCGUCAACGUGUCACUGUGUCGUGACUGAAUUAGCGAUUGUGUGUUCAAGAAUAAACGUGGCCGAGUCAGAACUUCGCGAGACGUUGCUGGCGACGGUCGGACAA